rnacentral:ncRNA from 1 species
GUGGACGUUGGAGAUUUGAGGAAAGCUGCUCCUAGUACGAGAGGACCGGAGUGGACGAACCUCUGGUGUUCGGGUUGUCACGCCAGUGGCAUUGCCCGGUAGCUAUGUUCGGACAGGAUAACCGCUGAAAGCAUCUAAGCGGGAAGCCCCUUCCAAGAUGAGAUCUCCCUGGGCCCUUGAGGCCCCUGAAGAGCCGUUCAAGACUAGGACGUUGAUAGGUCGGGUGUGUAAGCGCUGCGAGGCGUUGAGCUAACCGAUACUAAUUGCUCGUGCGGCUUGACUAU